AAUGUUCUGCCAACCAUUCCUGAGGUGGGAGCAGUUUCAAGGAUGCAGCCUUGAGAAGGUUGAGGCCUUCGCGACCUGGAUCUGUGGCAGAAUCCUGUCAAGGGCACGGUACGAACCUUUAAGAUGCUGGCGGCAGCCACGGAGAUCUGCUCGUCUGGCGGCCGCCUACGACAAGCCUCAUACGCGCCAAACUGACCAGCCUCAGGGAAGUAUCUGAGCAAGUCAGAGCAAUCUGAUUCCAUUUUGCUUCUGGUUGGAGCACUGGAACUCAGCUACUCACUUCUACUCAAGCAGGCAGAAAAGAGUGUACCGACUGCCAUUGUCUCGCAUGAGCUCAAGUUGAGAUGGAAUAAGUGCUCUCUCUUAAACUGUCACAGUGAUUUCUGGCAAUUUAAUGUUGUGUUAUGCAGCAUGGAGAUAAUCACCAACAGAGUACGGAUCCUUGCAGGCAUCAGGGUUCCAUCAUCUGGCUGAUGGAUUCACACCUGUGUGCACAACCACUGAACUGGACUGACAUCGCAUGACCAGUAAGGAUGAGGCAGCAAAGCCUAGUAUGGGACCUUCUGAAGAAGGCGGGCAGGCAGGAAGGAAGGAAAGAAGGGAGAGAGAGAGAGAGAAAGGGAAAGAAAGAAGAAAGAAAAAAUGAAGAGAAAGAAAGAAGAAAAUAGAAGAAGAAAGAGAGAAAAGAAAGGAAGAAAGGAUGGAUCAGUUGUGGUAGAUCAAUGCAGCAGAACAGAGAGCUCAGAAAUAGACCCUCAACUCUAUGGUCAACUAAUCUUUGACAAAGCAGGAAAGAAUGUCCAAUGGAAAAAAAAAAAAAAACAGCCUCUUCAACAAAUGGUGCUGGGAAAAUUGGACAUCCCCAUGAAGAAAAAUGAAAUUGGACCACUUCCUUACACCAUACACAAAAAUAGAGUCAAAAUGGAUGAAGGACCUCAAGGUGAGAAAGGAAUCUCAAAAUCCUUGAGGAGAACACAGGCAGCAACCUCUUUGACCUCAGCCCCAGCAACAUCUUCCUAGGAACAUUGCCAAAGGCAAUGGAAGAAAGGGCAAAAAUGAACUAUUGGCAUUUCAUCAAGAUCAAAAGCUUUGGCACAGCAAAGGAAACAGUUAACAAAACCAAAAGACAACUGACAGAAUGGGAGAAGAUAUUUGCAAACGACAUAUCAGAUAAAGGGCUAAUAUCCAAAAUCUAUAAAGAGCUUAGCAAAUUCAACACCCAAAGCAGAAAUAAUCCAAUCAAGAAAUGGGCAGAGGACAUGAACAGACUUCUGCAGAGAAGACAUCCAGAUGGCCAACAGACACAUGAAAAAAUGCUCCACAUCUCUCAGCAUCAGGGAAAUACAAAACAAAACCACAAUGAGAUACCACCUCACACCAGUCCGAAUGGCUAAAAUUAACAAGUCAGGAAAUGACAGAUGCUGGUGAGGAUGUGGAGAAAGGGGAAUCCUCCGACACUGCUGGUGGGAAUGCAAGCUGGUGCAGCCUCUCUGGAAAACAGUGUGGAGUUUCCUCAAAAAACUGAAAAUAGAGCUGCCCUAUGACCCAGCGAUUGCACUGCUGGGUAUAUAUCCUAAAGAUACAAACAUGGUGCUCUGAAGGGGGACGUGCACACGAAUGUUUAUAGCAGCAAUGUCCACAAUAGCCAAACUGUGGAAAGAACCUAGAUGUCCAUCAACAGAUGAAUAGAAAAAGAAUAUGUUGUAUAUAUACACACAAUGGAAUACUAUGCAGCCAUCAAAAGAAAUGAAAUCUUGCCAUUUGUGACGAUGUGGAUGGAACUAGAGGGUAUUGUGCUUAGCGAAGUGAGUCAUUCGGAGAAAGACAACUAUCAUAUGAUCUCCCUGAUAUGAGGAAGUGGAGAUGCAACAUGGGGGGGGUUGGGGGGUAGGAAAAGAAAAACUGAAAAAAGAUGGGAUUGGGAGGGAGAGAAACCAUAAAAGACUCAAUCUCAAAAAACAGACUGAAGGUUGCUGGGGUGAGUGGGGACGGGAGAGGGUG